UGUGUCUCUGACCAUCGCUUUUUCUUCUUUGUAGGAGUGAAGAUAACGGUAGCCACCUCAGCUCAGGUUGUUCUGGGGCUGCACUAUCCUGGUGAAGAGUCUUCAGGAGGUGACAUCUUCAAGCUGCCCCAAAUAAGAGUGCCACCUGGGAGCUAAAAGCAAACCUAUGUCCACUCAGAGGGUGUCUCUGGCUGGGAUGCAUGAUAGAGAAAUAUGAACAGAAGCUGGAAGCGCAGAUAGGAGCUCCUGCAACAGGACAGGCACGCGUUGGAUUGGGUGAGACCCUGCAGGAGGGGAAGGGUGUGGGUGUUUUUUGAGUGUCACAGACAUCAGAAGGAUUGGCCAUAUAUGGUGAGUGGCAGAGAAGACUCAGGUAUGGUUAGAUAUGGGAGGAGACAAUGUAGCCUCUGAGGACAUAAAGCUCACACUGUUGAAUGACUCAGCCAAGUGUUUAUGUAUUUAUUUUGCAGGAUCAAUCUGUUGGUGUUCUUGGCUUAUUCACUCGCAGAAGUGCCACAGAUGAAGAAGGGGCAUGUCCUGAUUAAGCAGGCUUGCUGGAGACACAUCCAUGUUUACUUUACCUGAUCCUCUGUUCCUAGGAUUCUACAUCUCCAAAUGCAUCGGAAAGUCACAUUUUAUUUCCUCUUUUUCCAGACCCAGUGAGCCAGAAAAAGUAUCUGGGACUAUAUUUGAGUCUUUUUCCACAUUCCAAGGAAUAGAGAAGCUAGGAACAGUCCUGCUUACUGGAAUCUCCUCAGAAGAAGGGUUCAACCAACAGAAGCUUGAAAAUAUUUGGGAAAAAAUUGCAUCUGUAUUGAACAGAAGGAGGAUUAUUGAACAGGAAAGAGUGUUCCAGAGAAGGCAAUAGCACACAGUGGGGCAGGCCUUGCACACUAGGAGAUCCAUGAGGAGUUCGGUGGUGCUGGAGAAGAGUUGUGAUAGAGGAUGCUAGAAGGAUUUUCCUUGUGUGUCUGUGCUCCCAAACAUCUCCUUUUUAAAGAACGUCAGCCACAUUGGCACCUCUCAAGCAUGUGGAACACUGACUUGAUAUUCAAAACAUCUGGAGUGAAUCAAUGAAUGGAUGGAUGCCCUGAUCAUGCUUCCAACAGCGAGUCAAAUGGCCUAAAACAGCUGUCAGAUGGUGUGAAAUGAACAGAGACACGGGGUAAAUAAAACUCAAGUGAACUCUGCACAUCUCUCUCACCAGAGAAACAUGACAUCCUGUUUCUCUACCAACAUCCUGAUUGUUCCCCUGACAUCCAUUGCUGAUUUCUGCAGUGAAAAUAAUUGAGAAUAAAUGGCCUGCUGGUGUCCUCCCAACCCCAGUGAUGUGGAUGAG